rnacentral:rRNA from 1 species
AACGAACGCUGGCGGCAGGCCUAACACAUGCAAGUCGAGCGAGGACUUCGGUUCUAGCGGCGGACGGGUGAGUAACGCGUGGGAAUGUGCCCUUCUCUACGGAAUAGCCCUGGGAAACUGGGAGUAAUACCGUAUACGCCCUAUUGGGGAAAGAUUUAUCGGAGAAGGAUCAGCCCGCGUUGGAUUAGGUAGUUGGUGGGGUAAUGGCCUACCAAGCCGACGAUCCAUAGCUGGUUUGAGAGGAUGAUCAGCCACACUGGGACUGAGACACGGCCCAGACUCCUACGGGAGGUAGCAGUGGGGAAUCUUAGACAAUGGGGGCAACCCUGAUCUAGCCAUGCCGCGUGAGUGAUGAAGGCCUUAGGGUUGUAAAGCUCUUUCAGCUGGGAAGAUAAUGACGGUACCAGCAGAAGAAGCCCCGGCUAACUCCGUG